CCUUGGGGAUUAUUAGUGUACGUCCAGUUGCAUAUAUUUUACAUGAAUGUUGGAACAAUUGUGAUGAUGACGAAUUUCGUCCUUUAUUCGAGAACAAUCUUAAUUGAUAUAUAAAUCUGUGAGUUUACUAUGUUCUUAACUUCGAUGAACCAAAGCAAGUUAUAAAUUGACCUGUAUUUAAAUCAAAUUGUUUCUUUUUUUUUCUUCUUCUUCUUUUGGUAUACAAUAGUCUAUCGAAUUCGUUGAUUACAUACUGUUGGCAUACGUGGACUAGUCUAUUUACAAAACUUUUACCACAAUUUACACAAAAUGUAUGUUUCUUUCUUAUGUUCAAUGUAUACAUGUAUACAUAUUUUAAAUUGCGCUACUGACUAUAGUUCCGUAACUUUCUACCCAGGCGUAUGUAUACACGAAUCGUCGACAAGUGCGCACAUUUUUUUAAAUCAAUAAUUCUGGUAUGUUCCAAUCUGUCCUAAACUAUUGACAACGAGUAUAUAUUACAUUUUCCCAAAUUAACCCUUGGAAAAAUAUGUAAAUAGAUUUGUAUUUCUUCAAUUAUUUUUUUUUUGUAUUAUUUUUUUUUUAUAAAUAAUAUUCUUUACACCAGAAAUGUUAUUUAUAAACAAGCGUAUGAGUUCAGUAAUGACUAGUAUAUUAUAUCACUUUCGGACACGCAAGACAAAAAUGUAUAUUAUACAUGCACCUGAUAGUUCAAAAUGGAAAGUUA
rnacentral:lncRNA from 1 species